rnacentral:antisense_RNA from 1 species
CUUGACCGAGCCGAGCCACACCGGGCGGCCCGCGGGGCGGUCCUUGCCGUACGUGGCGGCCAGCGCCUGCACCUC